rnacentral:rRNA from 1 species
CGGACACUCUUCAAGGGUGCUGCAUGGUUGUCGUCAGCUCGUGCCGUGAGGUGUCGGGUUAAGUCCCAUAACGAGCGCAACCCUUACCGUUAGUUACCAUCAGGUUAAGCUGGGGGACUCUAGCGGGACUGCCACCGUAAGGUGAGAGGAAGGUGGGGAUGACGUCAAAUCAGCACGGCCCUUAUGUCCAGGGCUACACACGUGUUACAAUGGCCAGUACAAAGGGCAGCUACCGGGUGACCGGAUGCUAAUCUACUAAAGCUGGUCUCAGUUCGGAUCGAAGUCUGCAACCCGACUUCGUGAAGCUGGAUUCGCUAGUAAUCGCGCAUCAGCCGUGGCGCGGUGAAUACGUUCCCGGGCCUU